ACUUGCGCGCUGCAUUCUAUUCUCAUAGUUGACCUUUGUUUCGUCCCUUUUUAGAAUCCAUCAAUUCUCCAUUUUGAACUCUACAAAUUAUGGCUUCCGUCUUCCAUCUUGCUUUUAUUUUGGGAAGUCAUGCUUCCAUCCUCCGUGUUCACUAUUGUUGCUGAGGUAUGAGAUCCCAAUAGCGCAAAUGAGGUUUUGGAUCUGAUUUGGAGUUGCUCAUUUGCUGGAUGCGGAGCAGAAGGUGAAAGCCUUUGUAUACACAUCCUAAGGAAAAGUACCAUGAGUAGUUGAGGGGUCAUCUAAGGAGACACUUAUGGAGGAUCAAGUUCUGAGCUCCAACAAAUUUCAUUGGCAACAAAGAUUCAAUGUUGGAAGGAUGUUGUUGGAGGCAAGAGCAGAGGUUGAGUUUAUGGAACUAUAGACUUGGCUGCCAACAUUCGACAUGGAGUCUCAUCCCUUACUCAACCCUCUUUAUUAGAUGCAAUUACUGACUACAUUGAUUAUGGUGUUGAGAAUGAACAACUUCGUUAAGAAAUCAAGGAAGCAAAAGAACAGGCUCGUGAGGCUAACCAAAAGUAUGAUGUCAAUAUUCAAAAGUACACACAAGUGGAGGAAACAUUAAAGUUGAUGCAACAACAAAUGGUCAUGAUGAUGGAGCGAAAUCUCUGUGAUACUUCAACAGGUACAAGUCUGGUCCACCCUGACUAUGCCGACACCGAUGAAUAUGCACUUUCUUGAAGUUCACCUUCAAUCUAUUUCACCUUAGCAAGAAAGAUUCGUAAUGUCGUUUUGUUGUGGAGGAUCCCUUAUUUUUGUCAUGGAGGAUCCCUUAUUUUUGUAGUGAAGGAGUGGAGGAUCCACUUAUUUUGGUUAUUUCAUGUAAAUGAAAUGUUAUGUUGUUUUGUGGUUAAGAACAACUCUUUUUGGUA